ACACCUCCCAACCCCUCCUCUCUCCUCCUCUGCUCCCAAGAUCUCCUCUUCUCCCGGCAGCUGAGCGCGGGGGGGCCGAGAGAUCGAGAUCCGGAGGAGGCGCGGAACCUCGCGGCGGCACCAGCAGCAAUGGCGGGCACGGUGACGGUCCCCGGGGCGAACGUCCCCUCCACGCCGCUGCUCAAGGACGAGCUCGACAUCGUGAUCCCGACGAUCCGCAACCUCGACUUCCUGGAGAUGUGGCGGCCCUUCUUCCAGCCGUACCACCUCAUCAUCGUGCAGGACGGCGACCCGGCCAAGACCAUCAAGGUGCCGGAGGGCUUCGACUACGAGCUCUACAACCGCAACGACAUCAACCGCAUCCUCGGCCCCAAGGCCUCCUGCAUCUCCUUCAAGGACUCCGCAUGCCGCUGCUUCGGCUACAUGGUCUCCAAGAAGAAGUACAUCUACACCAUCGACGACGAUUGCUUCGUAUGCACUCUUCUCUCUUCUCUUACUGUUCUCGUUUAAUUCUCGUUGAAUUGACGCUUGGAUCCGAUCGAAAGGCGGGAUCUUGGCGCCGGAUCUGGGGCCAAUUCGCUCGAAUUCGCCCAGAUCCGGCCGGAUCAGAUCUGGAUCUCGGCACGCGCGGUCAAUUCCGUUGAUCCGUAGCUUGGGUGGUGGUUUGGCAUUGCGGAUCUCGAUCCGUGACAUCAUGCUGUGCUCAGUAACUGUAGUGGCUUCGUUCCGAGGGAACAGAGCCAGCAGCCACCCCUCCUCUGCCCGUGGUUGUUAUGAUUUUGCCGCUUAGUACUGGUAGCUAGUGCCUUUGUCGUUAGAGGGGUCCUUUUCAUUUGGUCAGGGGCCCUUGUUUAUGUGAUCCCGUCGCGGAUCACAACUUGGCAUGCAUUAGCCAAAACUUAUUGUAAUGCUCUGCUGUCAUUGGAUCUAGUACUAGGAUACUCGAAUCAGAUCUGAUCCGAGCAGUAAGCACAAUUCAGGUCAACUUAGGUUAGCUCUUUAUAAUUCACACCUGGGUGAAAUUUUUUUCACCUUUUACCAGGUUCAACUCUUAGACAUUGUUUGAAAUUUUCACCUUUCACCUUGUAAGAUCCACACCACUAGAUCAUAAUGUUGAGGGUGGAACUCAACAUCGUGAUCUGUCUGAAACAUUGGCAGUAAUAUCGAGCAAUGCACUCAAAUUGCGAGUUUUUGUCAUCCUAUAAGUAGCAACAUCGUGAUUUUACAACAAGCAACAUAAUUGCACUUAUGCUAUUUUGUCACAUUAACCAUAUGUCUUUGUUUGUCAUUCAGGUUGCCAAGGACCCAUCGGGCAAGGACAUCAAUGCUCUUGAGCAGCACAUCAAGAACCUCCUCAGCCCAUCCACCCCAUUCUUCUUCAACACCCUGUACGACCCGUACCGUGAGGGUGCUGACUUUGUGCGUGGGUACCCCUUCAGCCUCAGGGAGGGUGCCCACACUGCUGUCUCCCACGGCCUGUGGCUGAACAUCCCUGACUAUGAUGCUCCCACACAGCUGGUCAAGCCUAAGGAGAGGAAUGAAAGGUGCUGCGGUUUGUUCUCAUUUUUCAUCUUACAUUCUGGCAACUAUUUUGCUGCAUCAUGGGUUGUGGCUAACUCCUUUUUUUGGUUUCAGGUAUGUUGAUGCUGUCAUGACAAUCCCCAAGGGAACCUUGUUCCCCAUGUGCGGCAUGAACCUUGCCUUCGACAGGGAUCUCAUUGGCCCUGCCAUGUACUUUGGUCUCAUGGGUGAUGGCCAGCCUAUUGGCCGCUACGACGACAUGUGGGCUGGGUGGUGUGUGAAGGUGUGUGGUCUCUGUUCUCUCUGCUGCAGUUGCAUUAGUUGCUUCCUUUACAAAUCAUAUGUUUUCCAAUUGAUGUCAUUGUAUUAAACUGUGCAAAUAAAAUUCAGGUCAUCUGCGACCACUUGAGCCUGGGUGUCAAGACUGGCCUGCCAUACAUCUGGCACAGCAAGGCUAGCAACCCCUUCGUCAACUUGAAGAAGGAAUACAAGGGCAUCUUCUGGCAGGAGGACAUCAUCCCCUUCUUCCAGAACGUGACCAUCCCCAAGGAGUGUGACACAGUCCAGAAGUGCUACAUCUACCUCUCUGGGCAGGUGAAGGAGAAGCUGGGCAAGAUUGAUCCCUACUUCGCCAAGCUCGCCGAUGCCAUGGUCACCUGGAUCGAGGCCUGGGAUGAGCUGAACCCGACCACCGCCGCAGCUGAGAACGGCAAGGCCAAGUAGAUGGAGCCCCUGGAGUCUUCACUUCCCCUUCGAAGUGAUAAAGUAUGAUUGGGGCCUGCCUAGGCCCCAUAGAUAUAGCU
rnacentral:lncRNA from 1 species